AAUUUAUCGAACAGUACCAGUCAAAAGUUUGGACACACCUCAAAUUCAGUGGUUUUUCAUUAUUUAAUUAUAUUAAAUGUUCUGCAUUGUAGGUUAACCUCUGCACAUCUCUGCUGGAUUUUCUCAGUCAGUUUUAUGAGGUAGAGUCACCUGUAAAUUCAGGCUUUCAGUUAACAGCUGUGCUGAACUCGUCAAGAGUUAAUUACUUGAAUUUCUUGUCUCUUAAUAAAGUGUUUGAGAGCAUCAGUUAAAGUAAAGUAGUGAAGAGGUAGAGUUACAGGUAUACAGUGAAUAGUGAAUAUUUGAGUAAUGAAGCAAGAACUACUCAACUAAAAAAAAACAGUCAGUCAUUCCAAAAAGAAGUUGACAUGGUGAAACUGGCACUCAUCAGGGCCACCCUAGGAAAGCAAAGGAAGAGUGAGAGUAUUUUCUGUUGUACAGAAUAAGUUCAUUUAGGUUUGUUUUAAACUCUUUUAAGUUACUACAUGAUUCCUUAUCUGUUCCUUCAUAAUCUGAUAGAUCACUUCACUAUUCAUUUACUAUGUAGGAAAAACGGUAAAUAAAUCUCUCUUAUUGGAAUAAGAGUACUGUAGAGUACUAAUGUACUGUAUAUCACACGUACACAUCACACAGUUAGUGCCAAAACUGAAGACAAAUAUAUAUAAUAUAUAAACUCAUCCUUAAAUAAAUAUAUGCAAACAGAAGGAAGAUAAAAGACAACAGGAGUGUAAUAAAUAAAUGAUUUAAAUGUUUAUUGAGCCACACAUACAGUAAAGGCUGGUUUAUAUUUCUCUGCAUUGCCUACAGUGUAGAUGUAGAGGGUUGUAGAGGUUCCUAAUGUUCCUCCUGUGAUAAUCCAUCCCAUAAUAACUCCAUAUUCCAGCAGCUGGACAUGGUAUAGUAUAUUCUAGUGUCAGCAGCAUGUGGGUGAGCAUAGAGCUGGGCGGUAUAACCAAAAACGUAUAUUACAGUAUUUUUCAAGAUUCUGACAGUUUUACAGUAUAUCACAGGCCAAUGAAAAAUUAAAUAGGCUUUUUAAAAACUCACCUCUAUCACAUUCUGUGGUAAAUAAAUAUGUUCAGAACCCUGUACGUUUUAUUCUGUGUACCUCCUAAACAAGUAAUGAAAUAUACCACUUUAAAUAAUACAUUUUUCCUGAUUACUUUCAUUUACACACCAUUUUACUUGACUUACUAUCUUUAUCUUUGACAGUGUUGUGUAAACUAAGAUUUUUCAAACUGAUGUUUAAUUUCAUGAUGUCUCUUAAUAUAAAACUCCUUAAUUACGGCAACUUUUAGACUCUUUGGCCUGUUUUUCUGCACUAGAAAUGCGCACUCUCUCCGCUUUUAGACUCUUUGCCCUGUUUUUCUGCGCUAGAAAUGCGCACUCUCUCCGCUUUUAGACUCUUUGGACCGUUUUUCUGCGCUAGAAAUGCGCACUCUCUACGCUUUUAGACUCUUUGGCCUGUUUUUCUGCACUAGAAAUGCGCACUCUCUCCGCUUUUAGACUCUUUGGCCUGUUUUUCUGCACUAGAAAUGCGCACUCUCUCCGCUUUUAGACUCUUUGGCCUGUUUUUCUGCGCUAGAAAUGCACACUCUCUCCGCUUUUAGACUCUUUGGCCUGUUUUUCUGCGCUAGAAAUGCGCACUCUCUCCGCUUUUAGACUCUUUGGCCUGUUUUUCUGUGCUAGAAAUGCGCACUCUCUCCUCUUUUAGACUCUUUGGACCCUUUUUCUGCGCUAGAAAUGCGCACUCUCUCCGCUUUUAGACUCUUUGGUCCAUUUCUGACACCUAGCGUUCAAACUUUGAAUCUCACAUUAUAAAAACCUGCUUAACAGCGGGCCAACUUUCAUUCUAUUUCUAAAAUACCUCGCGGGUCGUAGUGUGGACACCCCUGGUUUAAGGGUAGUAAUGAGAAAAAUGCUAGAUUUAAGCUAAUGCUACAGCGCAGCGCACCAGUGAACUCCGGUCGGAUCGUUUUGGAUUAUUAUUCUUCUUCUUCACAGAGGAUCAUUAAAGCAUUUAAACAGGUGAAAAUUAUUAUCAGUAUGGUGAUGUAGAGCAGUGUAGACUGUGUUAGAGCUUUAAAAUGGAGAUAAUAAGAGAAAGUGAGCUUUAGCUGUUCAGGAGCAGUGUUUCCCCACAGGGUUAAAUAUUUAGUUACGGUCAUUAGUUUAUUACAGCACACCUGACCCAAUAAAUUAACUAACAACUAAAUAAUCAACUAAGAGAGCUGAGUGAUACAGCUCCAGAACCACAGAGUCUAAAAUACUUCAUGUAAAAACAUUUAAUGUGUGUUUUUUUGUCCACAGAAACCUGCUAUUAGGACAAAUCUUAAUGUGCCUUAAUGUACUAAAACAAUGAGCCAGAAGCACCAAACAUCUAAACAUGCUGUAAAAAUACAGCCGGAGUUCGAUGGUGUUGCGCUGAAAAGAGUCCCCUGCCGAUCUCUGCAGCUGCUCUGUAGCAUUAGCUCAAAUCUAUCAUUUUUCUCAUCAGACUCUUAAACGAUCUCCUAAUUCAGAGAAUCCAGUGAUGUUCAGGAGUAAAAUGAUUGAAAUGUUCAGGGGUCUAAACAGAUUUAUUUACUACACAAUGUGACAGAGGCGUUUUUUUAAAAACCCUAUUCAUUUUCCUCUCUACCCACCAAGUUUCAUUUCUGUUGAUUAAUUCCUUCUGGAUGCUGCUAUGUAUUUACAGUGAGUGUUAUGUGAUGAUGUGUUGAUGUGAUAAUAUACUGUACUCAUGUGGAAAUGAUGUAAACACUUGAAUGGUGUAAAUUCAGUUCACGCACUCUCAGAAUCGAUGUGUUCAUUAAUCACACACUGUCUGUGUUUCAUCAUUACAACCCCUUUAUCUCCACUGAGGAUCCACUCUUCUCCUCAUAAACACAGAAUUACGCUUUAGUCUUACAGUAAAUACUGAUUCAUUAUAAUGCAUUUAA